rnacentral:rRNA from 1 species
GGAAUUUUGCACAAUGGGGGCAACCCUGAUCCAGCCAUGCCGCGUGAGUGAAGAAGGCCUUCGGGUUGUAAAGCUCUUUCAGUUGGGAAGCAACGGGGUUCUCUACCAUAGAGCUCUAAUGACGGUACCGACAGAAGAAGCACCGGCUAACCACGUUCCAGCAGCCGCGGUCAUACGUAGGGUGCGAGCGUUAAUCGGAAUUACUGGGCGUAAAGGGUGCGCAGGCGGUUGUGUAAGACAGGUGUGAAAUCCCCGGGCUCAACCUGGGAAUGGCGCUUGUGACUGCACGGCUAGAGUACGGCAGAGGGGGGUGGAAUUCCACGUGUAGCAGUGAAAUGCGUAGAGAUGUGGAGGAACACCGAUGGCGAAGGCAGCCCCCUGGGCCGAUACUGACGCUCAUGCACGAAAGCGUGGGGAGCAAAC